CUUGGGAGUGCGUGUACGCGAAUUGGGGGAGCGCGCUCGGGAAUAAGUGCUUUCAUUUUGCUAAAGAUGCUAAUUCUUCACAGAGUGAAUCAGUUUCUCAAAGGGUUUCCCACAGCAGCUGUCGCAGCCCCCCGGGUUUUUUAACUCAAGUGUUGGAAGGAUCAGAAAAUCUAGCCCUGUACCAUGACUGGCAGAAUCUACAAACCCCUCCUCUCUCUGGGGGUGGUGUUCAACAUUCUCCGGCGCCUUCUGAGAACGGCAUUCAGUAUUCUCCGGCGCCCUCUGGGAGCGGCGUUCAGUAUUCUCCACCAUCUCUGACGCCAUCUUUUUCUAACAGGUGGUCCCCUUUGUCGGCAGCGCUUUACUCUGACCGCGGAUAUCGGCGUAGAAGCCGCUAUUCACCCCGAUAUUCCCUUCGUCCUGACCAUCAGCGGAGACAUCAAGAAAGACUGGAAUAACUGACCGAACAACUUCACCAUUUACUGGUGCAAUUUGUAGAAUUUGAGGCUCCUGUGUACAAUUCCACACCCGAAAUGUGUUUAGACUUGAUGCAUAUGUAUGCAUUUUACAUCCAUCUAACCCAUAAUUAAAG